GAAGGACAUAAAGAGCACCUUUGACAGCAGCAGAUCGACAAAAUGCCUGAGACAGUUCUCCAUGGCCAUACAUAGGAUAGAUGAAUGCCCCUAUUGUAUUAGGAAACCUUCCAAUAGACGAACUAUAAAGAGAUAAACUCUCCAACCCUUCCCUAGUCUUCAACAUCUUCUUGCACCCCUCCACACUCUCUUGAUCAUAAUCAGCCAAUGCUAUCCCAUACAAA
rnacentral:misc_RNA from 1 species